rnacentral:rRNA from 14 species
GUAACAAGGUUUCCGUAGGUGAACCUGCGGAAGGAUCAUUAU